rnacentral:siRNA from 1 species
UGACACUAUUUUAGGAUUGCA